AAAAAAGUAAACUUUCCAAAUGUUUAACGUUCGCAUCGGCAAGGUCAAGGCCACGAAAAGAGCUGAAUGGCUAACCAGCACCCAGAUCUCUCUCCGGACUCCCUUGUCUUACAAUGUGUGGAUCUUCGGAGGAGAUUACGCCAAACAGAAAAAUCGCUCCAAGGAUUGUCUGCUCUGGAACACAGUAUUACAGAAUCUGAUCAUGAAGUAGAUGACAGCCACAGACGCUAUGCUAAGAACCGAUCACCUGAUACAGGCACAAUUACCUCCCCUGUGACAAUUCCUCUGCUGACCAUGGAUGACCUUUCACCUCGUGACCAGGGCAAUGAGAAGGCUGACCUUGGGUUGACCUCUCUGAAUGUUUCCUCGUCUGUGGGGUCGUUCAGGGCAUUCAAAACCCCUGUUCUCCCAUCAAGUACCCCAAAA